rnacentral:rRNA from 1 species
GAUGAACGCUGGCGGCGUGCCUAAUACAUGCAAGUCGAGCGAACGUUCUAUCCUCUUGCUUCUCUGUUGUUAGCGGCUGUCGGGUGAUUAACACUUGUCUAACCUACCUAUUAUACUUCCAUAACUUCGUGAAACCUUCGCUUAUACCGCAUGAUAUUUUGAUCCGCUUGGUUCUAAAGUGAUAGACGGUCUUUCUGUCCCUUAUAGAUGGAUCCUCGCUGCAUUAGCUAGUUGGUAAGGUAACGUCUUACCAAGGCAACGAUGCAUAGCCGACCUGAGAGGGUGAUAGGACACACGGGAAGUGAGACACGGACAAGACUACUACGGGAGGCAGCAGUAGGGAAUAUGCAGAAAUGGGCGAAAGCGUGAAGGAGCAAAGGGGAGUGAGUGAGGAAGGGCUUAGGAUCGUAAAAAACUGUUAUUAGGGAAGAACAAAGGUGUAAGUAAAUGUGCACAUGAUGACGGUAACUAAGCAGAAAGCAACGGCUAACUACGUG